UUUCGAAUCAUUCACAAUGGGCGAAAGCCUGAUGGUGCGACGCCGCGUGAGGGAUGAAGGCCUUCGGGUUGUAAACCUCUGUCACCGGGGAAGAAACGCUGCAUUUUAAUAGAAUGCAGCCUGACUUAACCCGGAGAGGAAGCAGUGGCUAACUCUGUGCCAGCAGCCGCGGUAAUACAGAGACUGCAAGCGUUAUUCGGAUUCACUGGGCGUAAAGGGUGCGCAGGCGGCCGUGUGUGUUGGGCGUGAAAGCCCGGGGCUUAACCCCGGAAUUGCACCCAAAACUACACGGCUAGAGCAUUGGAGAGGGUAGCAGAAUUCAUGGUGUAGCAGUGAAAUGCGUAGAUAUCAUGAGGAAUACCAGAGGCGAAGGCGGCUACCUGGACAAUUGCUGACGCUCAGGCACGAAAGCGUGGGGAGCAAAAG
rnacentral:rRNA from 1 species